UCAAGGCUAAAUACGCGGACGAAAGUACGGAGCUUCGGCUCCGGAACAAGUUGAUGACCCCAGAUGCCGAGAAAAUUCCCGUUCAUCUAUACAUAUUCCACUGGCAGUACCGCAAACCGACACAGGUAGGUGGGAUGAGAAUUCUAAGGUGCUUGUGAGAACCCUCGUUCAGGAACUCGGCAAAAUGUAUCCGUAACUUCGGGAGAAGGAUAGCCGUGUUCACCAAGAACACGGUCGCAGAGAAAUGUUUCAGGCGACUGUUUAACAAAAACACAGGUCUCCGCAAAGUUGUAAAGACAACGUAUGGGGGCUGACGCCUGCCCAAUGCUGGAAGGUUAAGAGGAGUGGUUAGCCGCAAGGCGAAGCUGCGAAUCGAAGCCCCAGUGAAUGGCGGCCGUAACAAUAACGGUCCUAAGGUAGCGAAAUUCCUUGUCGGGUAAGUUCCGACCUGCACGAAUGGCGUAACGAUCUGAAAGCUGUCUUAACGAGGGACACAGCGAACUUGUAGUACCGGUGAAGAUGCCGGUUUCCCGCAUCAAGACGGAAAGACCCCGUGCACCUUGACUACAACUUGAUAGUGAUUUCGGGCAAACGAUGCGCAGCAUAGGUGGGAGGCUUUGAUGUCAGGCUUUUGGGCUUGGCGGAGCCAUCGGUGAGAUACCACCCUUCGUUUGUUUGGACUCUAACCUCGACCCGUAAUCCGGGUCAGGGACAUUAUCAGGCGGGUAGUUUGACUGGGGCGGUCGCCUCCUAAAGAGUAACGGAGGCGCUCGAAGGUUGGCUCAGGCUGUUUGGAAAUCAGCCGUAGAGUGUAAACGCAUAAGCCAGCUUAACUGCGAGACAUACACGUCGAGCAGGUACGAAAGUAGGAGUUAGUGAUCCGGCGGUCGCUUAUGGAAGUGCCGUCGCUCAACGGAUAAAAGGUACGCCGGGGAUAACAGGCUGAUCCUGCCCAAGAGUUCACAUCGACGGCAGGGUUUGGCACCUCGAUGUCGGCUCAUCAUAUCCUGGGGCUGAAGAAGGUCCCAAGGGUUCGGCUGUUCGCCGAUUAAAAUGGUACGUGAGCUGGGUUCAGAACGUCGCGAGACAGUUCGGUCCCUAUCUGGUGUGGGCGUAGCAAUAUUGAAGGAAUCUGACCUUAGUACGAGAGGACCGGGUUGGAUCGACCUCUAGUGUACGUGUUAUGGCGCCAGCCGUAUCGCACGGUAGCUAUGUCGAGCAUGGAUAAACGCUGAAUGCAUCUAAGCGUGAAGCCAGACCUAAGAUUAAUAUUGCCAGUGAGACUCGUGGAAGACCACCACGUAAUAGGCUGGAGAUGUAAGUGCAGUAAUGUAUUUAGUUGACCAGUACUAAUUGUCCCAAGGCUUGACC
rnacentral:rRNA from 1 species